CCUUCAGAGUAGAGGAUUUAAAAUAAAUACAUCCUAGCCCAAACCUCCCGUAGGAGGGUUCGAACCCAGGACCAUUACUACUCGACCAGCCAGUCAUUGGUGUUGCUGUGGCCAUCGUUUGGCGCCCUUUUGGGGCAUUAGAUAAGAAAGAUUGUAGAUAUUUGAGAUCUGUCUGGUUUGUGAUAGAGCUAGUAGAUUAAAUGAACAAAAAAAGUGUAGCUGAUAUGAGAAAUACUUGUAGUACACUUUCCUGACACUGAGAUGUGGUGCUACUACACACACACACACACAUUCAGCAACUAAACACACACACACACAUUCACACUCGUGACUUUAUGUCAUUACUGAGUUUGUGUGUGCAAAUCUAGGUUUUUAUCAACACCCACUGUGUUCAUGCGUGAUAAGUCUGGAUGUGUGUGUGUGAAUCUAGGUUUUAUCAACACCCACCGUGUUCAUGCGUGAAAAGUCUGGAUGCGUGUGUGUGUGUGUUGCCUGAAUUAUUUGCAUUCCGCGACCGCAAUACGCUCCCUUAAUCUUCAGAAAUAAACAACAAUAAAACCACAUAGAAUCUGAUAAUCUACCCUGGUCAUUUAAAUACUUCGCCUACAUUCGGGUGUUGUCGGUUAUAAAAUUAACUACUUUUCGUGCGUCCAAAGUGCAUUGCAGAGCUUCUUCUGCAACGGGGGGUUCCAUUUACACGCCCAAGCUUUUAGUUUCCAUUUAUUUUUGUAUUCGGCGUGUGUGUGUGUUGCCCGGCACUGGGCCUUUGCUUUAGUCAGCGCUAUUGAUUUAAGGCCACCACAAUAACACUUGUUUGGUUUACACUUGUGUCGUCUGCGUCGGUCUAUAUUGACAACGCACGUCAGUAGGACCCUACAUUUUCUACAUUUGAAAGCGAAGGCCUGGAUUUGAAUUCAUACAUGGAAAUGGGGGAAGGGGAGGGGGGUUUGCUAAUGAUAUGGCGUUCGUCCCAGUUAGUUUUCAAGUUCAAUGCUAACUUUUAAACCAGUUGCUUAGCUAUAAAUAGGGCUGGCUACACAUAAAAGUCCCUU
rnacentral:sRNA from 1 species